rnacentral:rRNA from 1 species
UUUCUUUGGAGAGUUUGAUCCUGGCUCAGGACGAACGCUGGCGGCGUGCCUAAUACAUGCAAGUCGAGCGGACCAAAUCGGAGCUUGCUCUGAUUUGGUCAGCGGCGGACGGGUGAGUAACACGUGGGCAACCUGCCCGCAAGACCGGGAUAACUCCGGGAAACCGGAGCUAAUACCGGAUAACACCG